CCUACGGGAGGCAGCAGUGGGGAAUAUUGCACAAUGGGCGCAAGCCUGAUGCAGCGACGCCGCGUGAGGGAUGACGGCCUUCGGGUUGUAAACCUCUUUCAGUAGGGGAGAAGCGAAAGUGACGGUACCUGCAGAAGAAGCGCCGGCUAACUACGUGCCAGCAGCCGCGGUAAUACGUAGGGCGCAAGCGUUAUCCGGAAUUAUUGGGCGUAAAGAGCUCGUAGGCGGUUUGUCGCGUCUGCCGUGAAAGUCCGGGGCUCAACUCCGGAUCUGCGGUGGGUACGGGCAGACUAGAGUGAUGUAGGGGAGACUGGAAUUCCUGGUGUAGCGGUGAAAUGCGCAGAUAUCAGGAGGAACACCGAUGGCGAAGGCAGGUCUCUGGGCAUUAACUGACGCUGAGGAGCGAAAGCAUGGGGAGCGAACAGGAUUAGAUACCCUGGUAGUCCAUGCCGUAAACGUUGGGCACUAGGUGUGGGGGACAUUCCACGUUUUCCGCGCCGUAGCUAACGCAUUAAGUGCCCCGCCUGGGGAGUACGGCCGCAAGGCUAAAACUCAAAGGAAUUGACGGCUGAGAGNGCGACGACGACGACGAGGGAGAGG
rnacentral:rRNA from 1 species